GAGGGGGAUAACUACUGGAAACGGUAGCUAAUACCGCAUAAUGUCGCAAGACCAAAGUGGGGGACCUUCGGGCCUCAUGCCAUCAGAUGUGCCCAGAUGGGAUUAGCUAGUAGGUGGGGUAACGGCUCACCUAGGCGACGAUCCCUAGCUGGUCUGAGAGGAUGACCAGCCACACUGGAACUGAGACACGGUCCAGACUCCUACGGGAGGCAGCAGUGGGGAAUAUUGCACAAUG
rnacentral:rRNA from 1 species